rnacentral:lncRNA from 13 species
AGAAUGAUCAUUAAACAGUAACAGAGAUAAGCAUCUUUUACUUACAAAUGUCCCGCUGUCAGUAAGCAUAUAACUGACCAAUCCAAGAUGCCAGUUGCUGGUUGGGUUCCAAGCAGAAUGUUGGAGUAUUCUCUGGAGUUUGUUGUGGCUUCAGAAUCCACGGUUACUGGGCAGCGCCCUGUGGUGGCUGUAGUGCCAUGGAGGAGCUGCCAUCCUCUGAGGGGCUGCGCCCUGGGCUGACCCUUGGGAAGCUGGGCAAAAUGGUGGUGGAGCUGCUGCCCGCUGACCUGAGUCCACAACUCUCCUUCUGCUAUCUUCAGGAGAAUACACUGGAACUGUCUGCUAUGGCUGAAGGCAACAUUUUUCAUGAAGCCACCAUGAUCUCCUUGAACAACAUAAUGUUAGAGCCACCAGUUACCUUGGAAGAAUAUGGUGGUGUGGCAGCAGAGUCUUUCACGAGAGAAUAGGAAACAUUACUUCUAAACAAAUCAACAAGAUUGAAUGAAAGCUGACUUCUCAACAACAACAAAAAGAGCGGAAGCCAAAAAACGUCUUCAAAAUGUUGAAAGAAAAUGACUGCCAAGCUAGAAUUCUAUAUCCAGCCAAUAAUUUACUCAAAAAAUAAAGGUGAAAUAAAAACAGGUUCA